rnacentral:lncRNA from 1 species
CUGCCCAAAGGGAAAGUCCAGGGAUGGUGUUGAAAUUCCGUUCUGAGCUAGAGGGCUGUUUUAACAGAGAAAGGAAUCUAUAAUUGGCAAGAAAGACCAAGCUUAAUGUCAAAGCCGUUUGAUAAGUCUGAGAUCACAGAAUGUCUAGGCCAAGACUUAGUCAGAAUGAAACAUGUUUCUGGAGGAUUUCACUGUGGCACAAAAUGUUCCUGCGGUCCAAAAUUGAGAAGGGAAUUGAAACAAGGGAAAUUUUACUGUUAUGAAAUAUAAUAAAUAGUGCUUGCUUUACUGUAUG